rnacentral:misc_RNA from 1 species
GAAAUGCGAUAAGUAGUGUGAAUUGCAGAAUUCAGUGAAUCAUCGAAUCUUUGAACGCACAUUGCGCCCCUUGGUAUUCCAUGGGGCAUGCCUGUUCGAGCGUCAUCUACACCCUCAAGCUCUGCUUGGUGUUGGGCGUCUUUGUCCCGCCUCCGCGCGCGGACUCGCCCCAAAUUCAUUGGCAGCGGUCCUUGCCUCCUCUCGCGCAGCACAUUGCGCUUCUCGAGGUGUUGCGGCCCGCGUCCAGAAAGCAAUCGUUACCGUCUUUGACCUCGGAUCAGGUAGGGAUACCCGCUGAACUUAAGC